rnacentral:rRNA from 1 species
CAGUCGCCGCGGGAAUACAGAGGGUGCGAGCGUUAAUCGGAUUUACUGGGCGUAAAGCGUGCGUAGGCGGCUUUUUAAGUCGGAUGUGAAAUCCCUGAGCUUAACUUAGGAAUUGCAUUCGAUACUGGGAAGCUAGAGUAUGGGAGAGGAUGGUAGAAUUCCAGGUGUAGCGGUAAAAUGCGUAGAGAUCUGGAGGAAUACCGAUGGCGAAGGCAGCCAUCUGGCCUAAUACUGACGCUGAGGUACGAAAGCAUGGGGAGCAAACAGGAUUAGAUACCCCAGUAGUCCCUGUCUCUUAUAC